CCUACGGGUGGCAGCAGUCGAGAAUCAUUCACAAUGGGGGAAACCCUGAUGGUGCGACGCCGCGUGGGGGAAUGAAGGUCUUCGGAUUGUAAACCCCUGUCAUGUGGGAGCAAAUUAAAAAGAUAGUACCACAAGAGGAAGAGACGGCUAACUCUGUGCCAGCAGCCGCGGUAAUACCGAGGUCUCAAGUUGUGUUCGGAAUCACUGGGCGUAAGGGGUGCGGAGGCUGUUUCGUAAGUCGUGUGUGAAAGGCGCGGGCUCAACCCGCGGACGGCACAUGAUACUGCGGGACUAGAGUAAGGGAGGGGGAACCGGAAUUCGCGGUGUAGCAGUGAAAUGCGUAGAUAUCGAGAGGAACACUCGUGGCGAAGGCAGGUUCCUGGACAUUAACUGACGCUGAGGCACGAAGGCCAGGGGAGCGAAAGGGAUUAGAUACCCCGGUAGUC
rnacentral:rRNA from 1 species